UUGUAGCAAUACAGAUUGAUGCGACCGGCGCACGGGUGAGUAACGCGUAUGCAACUUACCUAUCAGAGGGGGAUAGCCCGGCGAAAGUCGGAUUAAUACCCCAUAAAACAGGGGUCCCGCAUGGGAAUAUUUGUUAAAGAUUCAUCGCUGAUAGAUAGGCAUGCGUUCCAUUAGGCAGUUGGCGGGGUAACGGCCCACCAAACCGACGAUGGAUAGGGGUUCUGAGAGGAAGGUCCCCCACAUUGGUACUGAGACACGGACCAAACUCCUACGGGAGGCAGCAGUGAGGAAUAUUGGUCAAUGGCCGAGAGGCUGAACCAGCCAAGUCGCGUGAAGGAAGAAGGAUCUAUGGUUUGUAAACUUCUUUUAUAGGGGAAUAAAGUGGAGGACGUGUCCUUUUUUGUAUGUACCCUAUGAAUAAGCAUCGGCUAACUCCGUGCCAGCAGCCGCGGUAAUACGGAGGAUGCGAGCGUUAUCCGGAUUUAUUGGGUUUAAAGGGUGCGUAGGUGGUGAUUUAAGUCAGCGGUGAAAGUUUGUGGCUCAACCAUAAAAUUGCCGUUGAAACUGGGUUACUUGAGUGUGUUUGAGGUAGGCGGAAUGCGUGGUGUAGCGGUGAAAUGCAUAGAUAUCACGCAGAACUCCGAUUGCGAAGGCAGCUUACUAAACCAUAACUGACACUGAAGCACGAAAGCGUGGGGA
rnacentral:rRNA from 1 species